GCAGGUGACACUGCUCCUGGUGACACAGGUGACAGAUGAAGGUCACAGGUGACACAGGUGACACUGCUGCUGGUGAUGCUGGUGACAGGUGACACUGGUGACACUUGCUGGUGACACAGGUGACACAGGUGACACAGGUGACACAGAUGACACAGGUGCUGUGACACAGGUGGCACAGAUGACACAGAUGACACAGGUGCUGGUGACACAGGUGACACAGGUGACACAGGUGACAGGUGCUGGUGACACAGGUGCUGGUGACACAGGUGACACAGAUGACACAGGUGACACAGGUGACACUUGCUGGUGACACAGGUGACACAGGUGCUGGUGAUGCAGGCGAGGCAGGUGACACCGGUGCCAGGUGACACGGGUGACACAGUGUCUCAGGUGUCCCCAGGUGUGUCCCCAGGACUGUCCCCAGGUGUGUCCCAGGUGACACAGGUGUGUCCCCAGCUGUGUCUCAGGUGAGCAUAGGUGACACAGGUGUGUCCCAGGUGUCCCCAGGAGUGCGUCAGGUGACACAGUUGACACAGGUGUGUCCCCAGGAGUGUCCCAGGAGUGUCUCAGGUGCCUCCAGGUGGGCACAGGUGACACAGCUGUGUCCCCAGGUGCAUCUCAGGUGACACAGAUGUGUCCAUGGAUGUGUCCCAGGUGCCUCCAGGUCCAUCUCAGGUGUCUCAAGUGACACAGGUGUGUCCCAGGUGUCCCCAGGUCCAUCUCAGGUGUCCCCAGGUCCAUCUCAGGUGUCCCCAGGAGUGUCCCAGCUGUCCCCAGGUCCAUCUCAGGUGUCCCCAGGUCCGUCUCAGGUGUCCCCAGGAGUGUCCCAGGUGUCCCCAGGUCCAUCUCAGGUGCCUCCAGGUGUGUCCCAGGUGACACAGAUGUGUCCCCAGGAGUGUCCCCAGGUCCAUCUCAGGUGUCUCAGGUGUGUCCCAGGUGACACAGUUGACACAGGUGUGUCCCCAGGAGUGUCCCAGGUGACACAGAUGUGUCCCCAGGUCCAUCUCAGGUGUCCCCAGGUCCAUCUCAGGUGUCCCCAGGUCCAUCUCAGGUGUCCCCAAGUCCAUCUCAGGUGUCCCCAGGAGUGUCCCAGGUGACACAGGUGACACAGGUGUGUCCAUAGAUGUGUCCCAGGUGUCACCAGCUGUCCCCAGGUGUGUCCCAGGUGUCCCCAGGUCCAUCUCAGGUGUCCCCAGGUCCAUCUCAGGUGUCCCCAGGUGUCCCCAGGUCCAUCUCAGG